GUGAAACUGUCCCGCAGGUGUGGCCCUCUCUGGCUCCUCCACGGCCACGCCUUCUUGGCGUUGCGCAGGCCGCCCCUAGGCCGUGGUUCGGCUGCCGCUUUGUGUACUGCUACUUCAGCUCUUCUGGGACGUGUCCAGCAGCUGGUCCCCUCCAUGCCAUGAUGCUACCUCUGCCAUCAAGGGGCUUUGAAACUCUACACAAGUGAUGAGCAUUUGAAGCUUCCACUUCUCAUCCUGCACAAUGAGCAAAACUGUAAUUAUGUCCUGGGACCAUAACAAAGGUUAAAAAAAUUGUGGAAUCUGUUGAUGGCCUGAUGUACUCCAUGCCAUGGCUUUUGGAGAUGUUGAAUGUCAGAGUACAGGUACACCCUUUUCUGUUUGUACUAGUGUGUUUUUCAUUGCUAUUAUGAAAUACUUGAA
rnacentral:lncRNA from 1 species